GAAUCGCGAUAUGUAAUGUGAAUUGCAGAUUUCCAGUGAAUCAUCGAAUCUUUGAACGCACCUUGCGCUCUCCGGUACUCCGGAGAGCAUGCCUGUUUGAGUGUCAU
rnacentral:rRNA from 5 species